AAAAGGAAGAAGAAGAAGAGGCAAAGCAAGGAAAAGCAAUGAGGUAUUAACCUUUAAGCAGUUAUCAUCAAAUAUCUUGAAGUUACAACAGAAACUGUGGAACAGUUAGGAUAUGAAUUUCCUCAGCAAUAAAGUAACCACAAAGAAGAAUAAAGGCAUGGAAACUUGCUCAGGGAACCCAACAUGAAAUGGGUGCUCCGUAUAUCUGAACAUGAUUCUUCUUAGAACA
rnacentral:misc_RNA from 1 species